CGAAGCCGUGAGGCCAAGCAAAGCCCAAAAAUAGGCGUCUCAUUCGGAUUGUAGUCUGCAACUCGACUACAUGAAGCUGGAAUCGCUAGUAAUCGCAGAUCAGAAUGCUGCGGUGAAUACGUUCCCGGGUCUUGUACACACCGCCCGUCACACCAUGGGAGUCGGGAAUGCCCGAAGUCAGUGACCCAACCGCAAGGAGGGAGCUGCCGAAGGCAGGCUCGAUGAUUGGGGUUAAGUCGUAACAAGGUAAC
rnacentral:rRNA from 1 species